rnacentral:rRNA from 1 species
UACGUAGGUGGCAAGCGUUGUCCGGAUUUACUGGGUGUAAAGGGAGCGUAGGCGGGUAACUAAGUCAGGUGUGAAAAUUAAGGGCUUAACCCUUAACGUGCACUUGAAACUGGAAAUCUUGAGUGAAGUAGAGGCAGGCGGAAUUCCGAGUGUAGCGGUGAAAUGCGUAGAUAUUCGGAGGAACACCAGUGGCGAAGGCGGCCUGCUGGGCUUUUACUGACGCUGAAGCUCGAAAGUGUGGGGAGCAAAC